rnacentral:lncRNA from 1 species
GUAGGCGUGCCACAACUUUUAUUUACUAACGCUUUAAAGCGUCGGGAUUGCUAUUUUUUAAAAAAAAUAAAAAUAUGAAUGUAUAUUUUCAUCAAUCAAAAGACCUGAAGCGUACUCAAAUUCCACCAUCCACUGUUGCAUAUUGCUUCUAACAGUACUCAGGAAGGAAAUCAGAUAUUACAUUGACCGAGAAGGUAAGAACCAAAAUCUCAUGCUUCACUUGAGCAGGCCCCUCCAUUGCAUAUCAACUGUAUUCCAUGUGAUCCACAAGAAUACACAAGAAUCCCCCUUUUUCUUUAGCAAAACAGAGGGAAGGACCACAAUCAAUUAAA